GACAUCCCGCUCUGGUCAUUUUCCAUAGAGUGGAAAGUUUGUUAUUUCCGUUUUUGCAAUAAAUUUUAUUGCUAUUUGUUCUUUGGGUCCACACUACUUUUAUGAGGUGUAACACUCACCGCAGGGGUAUGCAGUUUCACUCCUGACGCUAGCGAGAGCACGAACCCCCCGGGAGGAACAAACAACUCCAGAGGCGCCGCAUUUAAGAACUGUAACACUCCCCGUGAGGGUCUGCGGCCUCAUUCUUUAAAUCAAUGAGACCAAGAACCCACCAAUUGUGAACACAGAACAAUGUUGAAAUUCUAAGUUUCCAUAAACUUUCUGUUUAUAUAAGCGAUUCCAAACUUCUACACUUUUGGAACAUAGACUAAUAUUCUUUGGAAUCUUCAGCUCUAGACGGGCCACUUCCUCAACAUUUGCAGUUGGAUAAACUCUUUUUUUUUUUUUUUUUUUUUUUUAAAUUUAUUUUUUUAUUGAUAAUUCUUGGGUGUUUCUCACAGAGGGGGAUUUGGCAGGGUCAUGGGACAAUAGUGGAGGGAAGGUCAGCAGAUAAACAAGUGAACAAAGGUCUCUGGUUUUCCUAGGCAGAGGACCCUGCGGCCUUCCGCAGUGUUUGUGUCCCUGAUUACUUGAGAUUAGGGAUUGGUGAUGACUCCCAACGAGCACCCUGCCUUCAAGCAUCUGUUUAACAAAGCACAUCUUGCACCGCCCUUAAUCCAUUUAACCCUGAGUGGACACAGC
rnacentral:lncRNA from 1 species